AGAGAGAGAGAGAGAGAGAAGGCAGGUGGGAGAGGGAGGGAUGGAGAAGCUCUUCUUGGAGCAUUGAGUGUAUAAUAUUUAGUUGCUUAUUGAUAUUAAUCAUUGGACUAUGAGUUCAUUGCAUUGGCUUUGUUCAACUUGUCUAGCAUAACAUGUCGGUGCUUUGGCAUCACAUAUAUUGUUGUGAGAAAAUUGUUGUUGCCUAGGCUUUGAGGUCAUUUGUUUACAUCUGUUGCAACAAUCAUAUGUAGAGACAUUCCUUCCAAGUAUUCCCCCUGUUUGAAAUUGUUGGUACAAGCAAUGGAUCUGACUA
rnacentral:misc_RNA from 1 species